rnacentral:rRNA from 1 species
GGCCUACGGGGGGCAGCAGUGGGGAAUAUUGGACAAUGGGGGAAACCCUGAUCCAGCGACGCCGCGUGAGUGAAGAAGUAUUUCGGUACGUAAAGCUCUAUCAGCAGGAAAGAAAAUGACGGUACCUGACUAAGAAGCCCCGGCUAAAUACGUGCCAGCAGCCGCGGUAAUACGUAUGGAGCAAGCGUUAUCCGGAUUUACUGGGUGUAAAGGGAGAGUAGGUGGCAGAGCAAGUCCGAAGUGAAAACCCAAAGCUCAACUAUGGGAAUGCUUUAGAAACUGCUCAGCUAGAGUGCAGGAGAGGC